UACAGAGUUCUUGAUGAUGAAUUCUUCUUUAGAAUUUCUAGAACACACAUGAUCUUUUCUAGAAAAUUUUCUGUCACUUCUUUCCAUAUUUGUUCCCCAUAAAAUGAAUUGCCUUUCUUCUUUUGGUGGUUUAAAUACCUUGGCAUCAUUUUCUUUUGCUGAUUUGUAUCCCGUAGAACAUCCAACCACGAAACACUUCACCAUUUCACCACACGAUGUAUCAAAAACACAUCACCACAACUUAAAGAAUGAAAUUAUAAAAAGAAACAACGAAAUGGAAUCUAAAAAUCUACUAUCAACAAUGGCAGACGCUUCACGUCAGAGAAUUCGCGCCAAAUUCCAGGGCCACUAACACUAGAGAACCUAGAGGCAGAAGUGUAAACAAUUCCAGAAAGUUGGCACAGUUUUAAGAGGGGGCGCCCAACUGCGUUCGCCCACCUCUCCUAAUACUGUACAUCGUGGUGUUUCUUUAGAUUGAGACGUUUUCGUGGAAUUUAUUGUGCUAAUAUUGCAAGUGCUGGCUGGACCUUCGCUGAAGGCGUCUUCCUUGCUUGAAUUGAUAAAUUUGUAGCAAAUGAAAGGAACAUUCCGCUCAAUGGUCUGGUGAUGGGCACUCAUGGUUGAGGAAGCUUUCAGCGAUUCCACAACCACACAAGUAAUGAAGUACUAGAACAUAUGUAAUUUCACUUCCUUUCUAAUUUCUAAGUUAAUAGAAGCUGUCGUUGACCAUUUAGAUUGCCACAGCUUUCACCAAACAACAAGUACUACGAGCCCAGGCAGUUUGAGUCGACUAAGUGUCUAAGUCUAUGUGUUGUUAUUGAACACUUCAUUGACGGGGACAGAAGUUAACUACAUAUUCCAAGAUGCACUAGGCCCCCUCAGGAAAAAAUACUCCAUACGUUUCAUCAGAUGAGUCAGCUGCUAUCACUGUUUCUUCGUUUCCUUUAUGGUGACCAUAUUGGUCAAACUACUCUCAGUAAUGAGCAACUAAUAGAGUUGUUAAUCAUGGCUGGCCGGUUUGAGGUCGAACAACUUAGUUCCGGCUUGAAGAUAUCCUCGGAGGUGAAGUUUCUAGGCCUGAGCUUUUGCGGUUAGCCCUGGCGGCUGACUGUGACAUUAAUAGAGCCGUCAACUAUUACCUUGCGCAGCCGGAUCCUAGCACAGACUAAGAGGGUAAAGACUACGAUCGGGGAUAGGGCUGAGAGGAAUGCUUGAAGCUAUGCUCGUCCUAUGCCGUAUGGUGGCGCGUCGAGCACACAAAACGAAAGCCAUUAUUUUUCCUCUUUCCCUACUGAUUUGAGUCUUCACACACCGUAAGUUUAUAAUUAAACCAUUAACAUUUCAAUAGUGAUGUUUUGUGUAAAUAUAGCUUAGAAAUCCCCCAUGUUGUGUGAAUUUUUUUAAAUUUCUAUGUGAUCUCUAGACACAAUCUAUAAAUUCCUUUAUUAAACCCCCUUUUUGCCCAU